UACGUAGGGUGCAAGCGUUGUCCGGAAUUAUUGGGCGUAAAGAGCUCGUAGGCGGUUUGUUGCGUCGGCUGUGAAAUCCCGAGGCUCAACCUCGGGUCUGCAGUCGAUACGAGCAAACUAGAGUGUUGCAGGGGAGACCGGAAUUCCUGGUGUAGCGGUGAAAUGCGCAGAUAUCAGGAGGAACACCGGUGGCGAAGGCGGGUCUCUGGGCAACAACUGACGCUGAGGAGCGAAAGCGUGGGGAGCAAACAGG
rnacentral:rRNA from 1 species